GACGAACGCUGGCGGCGUGCUUAACACAUGCAAGUCGAACGGAAAGGCCCUGCUUUUGUGGGGUGCUCGAGUGGCGAACGGGUGAGUAACACGUGAGUAACCUGCCCUUGACUUUGGGAUAACUUCAGGAAACUGGGGCUAAUACCGGAUAGGAGCUCCUGCUGCAUGGUGGGGGUUGGAAAGUUUCGGCGGUUGGGGAUGGACUCGCGGCUUAUCAGCUUGUUGGUGGGGUAGUGGCUUACCAAGGCUUUGACGGGUAGCCGGCCUGGGAGGGUGACCGGCCACAUUGGGACUGCGGUACGGCCCAGACUGCUACGGGAGGCAGAAGUGGGGAAUAUUGCACAAUGGGCGGAAGCCUGGUGCGGCAACGCCGCGUGCGGGAUGACGGCCUUCGGGUUGUAAACCGCUUUCGGCUGUGACGAAGCGUGAGUGACGGUAAUGGGUGAAGAAGCACCGGCUAACUACGUG
rnacentral:rRNA from 1 species